rnacentral:rRNA from 1 species
UACGUAGGGCGCAAGCGUUGUCCGGAAUUAUUGGGCGUAAAGAGCUUGUAGGUGGCUUGUCGCGUCUGCCGUGAAAACCCGAGGCUCAACCUCGGGCGUGCGGUGGGUACGGGCAGGCUAGAGUGUGGUAGGGGAGACUGGAACUCCUGGUGUAGCGGUGAAAUGCGCAGAUAUCAGGAAGAACACCGAUGGCGAAGGCAGGUCUCUGGGCCACUACUGACGCUGAGAAGCGAAAGCAUGGGGAGCGAACAGGAUUAGAUACCCCGGUA